rfam:Ochrobactrum sp. P6BS-III NODE_11_length_187084_cov_38.4395, whole genome shotgun sequence.
GAUCAAGUGUCUUAAGGGCAUUUGGUGGAUGCCUUGGCAUGCACAGGCGAUGAAGGACGUGAUACGCUGCGAUAAGCGUCGGGGAGGUGCGAAUACCCUUUGAUCCGACGAUUUCCGAAUGGGGCAACCCACCUUAGAUAGCUAGAAAAUCUGAAUUGUUGGCGCGCAAGCAAGAACAGUUCAACUUUCUAGUUAUCGUAAUAAGGUAUCUACACCUGAAUACAUAGGGUGUUAGAAGCGAACCUGGGGAACUGAAACAUCUAAGUACCCAGAGGAAAGGACAUCAAACGAGACUCCGCUAGUAGUGGCGAGCGAACGCGGACCAGGCCAGUGGCUUAUAUGAGUAAAGUGGAACAACUUGGAAAAGUUGGCUAGAGUGGGUGAUAGCCCCGUACACGCAACACGAUUAUAAGUCCUUGAGUAGGGCGGGACACGUGAAAUCCUGUCUGAACAUGGGUCGACCACGAUCCAAGCCUAAGUACUCGUGCAUGACCGAUAGCGAACCAGUACCGUGAGGGAAAGGUGAAAAGCACCCCGACGAGGGGAGUGAAAUAGUACCUGAAACCGAAUGCCUACAAACAGUUGGAGCCCAAGGUUCGUCCUGGGUGACAGCGUACCUUUUGUAUAAUGGGUCAGCGACUUAGUCUGACGAGCAAGCUUAAGCCGGUAGGUGUAGGCGCAGCGAAAGCGAGUCUGAACAGGGCGUUCAGUUCGUCGGAUUAGACCCGAAACCAAGUGAUCUAGCCAUGAGCAGGUUGAAGGUACGGUAACACGUACUGGAGGACCGAACCCAUAUCUGUUGCAAUAGAUCGGGAUGACUUGUGGCUAGGGGUGAAAGGCCAAUCAAACUUGGAGAUAGCUGGUUCUCCGCGAAAUCUAUUUAGGUAGAGCGUCCAGCGAAUACCCCCGGGGGUAGAGCACUGAAUGGGCUAUGGGGACUCACCGUCUUACUGAUCCUAAUCAAACUCCGAAUACCGGGGAGUACUACUGGGCAGACACACGGCGGGUGCUAACGUCCGUCGUGAAGAGGGCAACAACCCUGACCACCAUCUAAGGUCCCUAAGUUAUGGCUAAGUGGGAAAGGAUGUGAGGAUCCCAAAACAACCAGGAUGUUGGCUUAGAAGCAGCCAUCAUUUAAAGAAAGCGUAACAGCUCACUGGUCUAAAUAAGGGUCUUUGCGCCGAAAAUGUACCGGGGCUAAAGCCAUACACCGAAGCUGUGGAUGCACGUAUGUGCGUGGUAGCGGAGCGUUCCGUAAGCCUGUGAAGGGACAGUCGUGAGACAUCCUGGAGGUAUCGGAAGUGAGAAUGCUGACAUGAGUAACGAUAAAGGGAGUGAGAGACUCCCUCGCCGAAAGUCCAAGGGUUCCUGCUUAAAGUUAAUCUGAGCAGGGUUAGCCGGCCCCUAAGGCGAGGCCGAAAGGCGUAGUCGAUGGGAACCACGUUAAUAUUCGUGGGCCUGCAGGUAGUGACGGAUCGCGUGUGUUGUAAGGUCUUAUUGGAUUGAUCUUGCAGCGAAGCGGUUCCAGGAAAUAGCUCCUGCAUAUAGACCGUACCCUAAACCGACACUGGUGGACUGGUAGAGAAUACCAAGGCGCUUGAGAGAACUGCGUUGAAGGAACUCGGCAAAAUGCACGCGUAACUUCGGAAGAAGCGUGACCUCCAUUUAGGCAACUAGGUGGGGGUGGCACAGACCAGGGGGUAGCGACUGUUUACCAAAAACACAGGGCUCUGCGAAGUCGCAAGACGACGUAUAGGGUCUGACGCCUGCCCGGUGCUGGAAGGUUAAGAGGAGAUGUGCAAGCAUUGAAUUGAAGCCCCAGUAAACGGCGGCCGUAACUAUAACGGUCCUAAGGUAGCGAAAUUCCUUGUCGGGUAAGUUCCGACCUGCACGAAUGGCGUAACGACUUCCCCGCUGUCUCCAACGCAGACUCAGUGAAAUUGAAUUCCCCGUGAAGAUGCGGGGUUCCUGCGGUUAGACGGAAAGACCCCGUGCACCUUUACUAUAGCUUUACACUGGCAUUCGUGUCGGCAUGUGUAGGAUAGGUGGUAGACUUUGAAGCAGUGGCGCCAGCCAUUGUGGAGUCAUCCUUGAAAUACCACCCUUGCCUAUAUGGAUGUCUAACUGCGGCCCGUUAUCCGGGUCCAGGACCGUGUAUGGUGGGUAGUUUGACUGGGGCGGUCGCCUCCUAAAGAGUAACGGAG